UACGAAGGGGGCGAGCGUUGUUCGGAAUUACUGGGCGUAAAGCGUGCGCAGGCGGCGCGUUAAGACAGGUGUGAAAGCCCCGAGCUUAACUUGGGAAUUGCGCUUGUGACUGGCGUGCUGGAGUGUGGCAGAGGGAGGUGGAAUUCCACGUGUAGCAGUGAAAUGCGUAGAGACGUGGAGGAACACCGAUGGCGAAGGCAGCCUCCUGGGCCAGCACUGACGCUCAUGCACGAAAGCGUGGGGAGCAAACAGG
rnacentral:rRNA from 1 species